AUAUAUCUGCCUCACUCUCAGUGAAAUCAGUAGUACUGCUAGGUUUUACACAGUAAUAAUAUAUAUCUGCCUCACUCUCAGAGAAAUCAGUAGUACUGCUAGGUUUUACACAGUAAUAAUAUAUAUCUGCCUCACUCUCAGAGGAAUCAGUAGUACUGCUAGGUUUUACACAGUAAUAAUAUAUAUCUGCCUCACUCUCAGAGAAAUCAGUAGUACUGCUAGGUUUUACACAGUAAUAAUAUAUAUCUGCCUCACUCUCAGAGAAAUCAGUAGUACUGCUAGGUUUUACACAGUAAUAAUAUAUAUCUGCCUCACUCUCAGUGAAAUCAGUAGUACUGCUAGGUUUUACACAGUAAUAAUAUAUAUCUGCCUCACUCUCAGAGAAAUCAGUAGUACUGCUAGGUUUUACACAGUAAUAAUAUAUAUCUGCCUCACUCUCAGAGGAAUCAGUAGUACUGCUAGGUUUUAUACAGUAAUAAUAUAUAUCUGCCUCACUCUCAGAGGAAUCAGUAGUACUGCUAGGUUUUACAC
ensembl:lncRNA